rnacentral:rRNA from 1 species
UACGUAGGGGGCGAGCGUUGUCCGGAAUCAUUGGGCGUAAAGCGCGUGUAGGCGGUUCAGUAAGUCUGCUGUGAAAGUCCAGGGCUCAACCCUGGGAUGCCGGUCGAUACUGCCGGACUAGAGUUCGGAAGAGGCGAGUGGAAUUCCCGGUGUAGCGGUGAAAUGCGCAGAUAUCGGGAGGAACACCUAUGGCGAAGGCAGCUCGCUGGGACGUUACUGACGCUGGAGACGCGAAAGCGUGGGGAGCAAACAGG